rnacentral:rRNA from 1 species
UCCGUAGGCGGGCGUCUAAGUCAGUGGUGAAAUCUUACAGCUCAACUGUAAAAUUGCCAUUGAUACUGGAUGUCUUGAAUUAGUGUGAAGUGGUUAGAAUGUGUAGUGUAGCGGUGAAAUGCAUAGAUAUUACACAGAAUACCAAUUGCGAAGGCAGAUCACUAACACUAUAUUGACGCUGAGGGACGAAAGCGUGGGGAGCAAACAGGAUUAGAUACCCUGGUAGUCC